rnacentral:rRNA from 1 species
GACAGAGGGUGCAAACGUUGUUCGGAAUUACUGGGCGUAAAGCGUGUGUAGGCGGUCCACUAAGUCGGGUGUGAAGGCCCUGGGCUCAACCCAGGAAGUGCACUCGAAACUGGCGGGCUAGAGUAUCGGAGAGGUUGGUGGAAUUCUCGGUGUAGAGGUGAAAUUCGUAGAUAUCGAGAGGAACACCGGUGGCGAAGGCGGCCAACUGGACGAAUACUGACGCUGAGACACGAAAGCGUGGGGAGCAAACAGG